GAUGAGUGGGGUGAUUCAUAAUAUCAUCCGAGGCGCACAUAGCUUUUAUCCGUGAUAUUAGAUAGGCCUAUAAUAUUAUAUAAAUAAUACCCAUAUUUAAUAUUAUUAUAUUAUACAGAGGAUUAUCAGUCUACGUCACUCCCCGCUCUACACGCAUGUUGUUUGCAGAAAGAGACGAGAGCGACAAGAGCCGCAAUCAAGAGCAGUGGUCAAUUACACUUUGUGCUGCCACACUUCUAACAGGAGUCCCCAGGUGUGGAAGAAAGUCAUGUGAGAAAAUGGCUGCCGUGAAGUCACACAGUUUGGCAGGCUCUGUGGGUGUGCUCCAAAAGCCAACUAAAAAUAUCAAAAUACAUUGGCUUUCGCCAUCUGCAUGUACCUUUACUGUUUUUGCAUGUUCUCUACUCUUGUGCCUAACACAUACACGAAAAAUGGAUACAAAUGGAGACCAAUUCCUCGACCCAGCCAAGAUGAGUCAACACCUUCUCUUCACAAGAUUACUGGACAAUGGAAUUGCAAGGCCACCCUCAGGUAAACAUGAACAGCUGAACAAACCUAAACCUUUCUUGGGAAUUGUACAUCUUCUGAUAAUACUGCUCCUGGCUGAUGAUGUUGAAAUAAAUCCUGGACCUUCAAUGAACUUAAACUACCGGGCUGGGCUACAAUCACAGCUAACUGAGUUACAACCACAGCUAGCAGGGCUACAACCACAGCCAGCCAGGCUACAAUCACAUCUAAUUGGGCUAGGGCCAUAGCUAAUCGGGUUACAACCGCAGCUAACUGGGCUACAACCUCAGCCAUUCAGGCUACAACCACAGCUAACUGGGCUACAACCUCAGCCAUUCAGGCUGCAACCACAGCCAGCUGGGCUACAGCCACAGCUAACUGGGCUACAACUACAGCUAGCAGGGCUACAUUCACAGCUGGCAUGGCUACAACCAAAGUUAGCAGGGCUACAUCUACAGCUAGCAGGGCUACAACAACAGCCAGUCAGGCUGCAACCUCAGCUAGCCGGGCUACAGCAACAGCCAGCCGGGCUGCAACAACAACAACAGCCAGCCGGACUGCAACAACAGCCAGCCUGGCUACAGCAACAGCCAGCCGGGAUACAGCAACAGCCAGCCGGGCUGCAACCACAGCCUGCCGGGCUACAGCAACAGCCAGCUGGGCUACAGCAACAGCCAGCCGGGCUGCAACCACAGCCAGCCGGGCUGCAACCACAGCCAGCCGGUCUACAACCACAGCCAGCCGGGCUACAACCACAGCCAGCCGGGCUACAGCCAUCAACAGAAGGUGGUGACGAGUCGCUGCCUGUCUCAAGGAGUACACUGAUGCCACAGAACUAUGGGAGUCGGGCCAUGGAUGACUGUCAUCCAAUCAGCACAGACACUCGUGGGGUUGUAACAGAUGUCAACAUAGGCGGCAAGAAACUGCUUAAUCCAGCAAUCACGAAAAAAACGGAAAAGUAAAGUGUUUCAAACAGUUAAUAAUUCCAGAUUAAUCUGGGACCCUAAAGCAAAGCCAAAAGGCAUAUUAUGUGGACAUUUAAACAUACGUAGCAUUAAAUCAAAAAGUGACCAAGUUCAACAUCUCUCAAUGACUCUAAUCUUGACUUUCUUUGCCUGUCUGAAACCUGGCUUCAUAAAUAUUCACCCUCAGCAGUUUUUUCUGCACCUGGUUAUAAUAUAUACAGAAGGGACAGAUUGGGCUCAAAGGUAGGGGGGGUUUUGAUCUAUGCCAAAGAUAUUUUUAAUUGUAAAGAAAUCCAUGUAUCAAAUGAAAAUGGACUGGAAUUGAUUUGUCUCGAUAUACCUUUGUCGCCACAAAUGUCAUUUGUCCUCAUUGUAAUUUACAGACCCCCCUUAUCAAAUAUUGACUUUUAUGAAAAACUUGAUAAUUUAGUGAAACAAUGUAAUUUUCAGAAAGAGGUGAUCAUCAUGGGUGACUUAAAUAUAAACUGGGAGGAUAAACAAAAUAGGAAAAAUCUGAAAAGGGUUAUGGGUGGGAUGGAUUUAACACAGCUAAUUCAUGGGCCCACAAGAAUAACUAAUUCCACCAGUACACAGAUUGAUUUAGUCUUUAGCAACAGACCUGAGAGAAUUUUGAAAUCAUUCAAUAUGCUAAGAGGACUGUCUGAUCACAAUCUGAUUUUAGUGGCAAGGAAGCUGAAUAGUAAGCGAUUUAAACCCUUGGCUGCAUCAGAAUCUCAUACAAUUCCGAGGAAUGAGCAACAUCAUUUUAAAACCUCAAUCCAGCAGGUAAACUGGAAUGAGCUGCUAUCGGGAAGUAACCUGGAACAAGAUUGUUUAACAUUUUCAAACAAAAUACAGGAAAUUAUUAAACAAUUUACAUGCAUGAUUAAAAAUAGGGCCAAAAAGAACAGUCUCCCUUGGUUAAAUGAUACAAUUUUUAAACUGAUGAAAGAGCAUGAUCUUGCUCUAAAAAGAUCCAUCAAAACAAAACUUAAACAUGAUCAAUACAUACAUAUAUAUAAGUAUCAAUACACAACAUUAAAGGGGACAUAUUACGAAAACAGCACUUUUCUUGGGAUUUGGGGUGUUGUUGUGGGUAUAUGGUGCUCCCACACGCAUACAAACUGAAAAAAGUCUGUACUUGAUUUUUUGAGUAAGAUACGUAUUUCUGGAAGCAGCCCGCCUCAAGCUACCAAACGAGCGAGUCAGUUUCAGCGCCCGUUUCUACGUAGGAUGGGGCGCUCAUUUGAAUAUGACCCCACCCCCUUCAAUCAGAGUAUAAAUAGGACACGGCCUUGUGUUUCAUGAUUGGAAUUCAUCAUGUCGAGGAUUCACAAGAGGUGUUCUGUUGUUGGCUGUAUGGACGUCCACAAAUCCCUCCAUCGUGUCCCAGAGGACGAAAGAGCGACGUGGAUUGAUUUCAUUUUUGAAGGCGAAGUCCCGGCUACAGUUGGCAAAAACCUGUUGGUCUGCGCUAACCACUUUACGACUGACUGUUUCUCCAACUUCGGUCAGUACACGGAAGGAUUAGCUGUGAAACUUUAUCUGAACGUGGGGUCCCUUCCAACUUGGAAUACCUGCAGACGAAGGACAUGCCUCGGAGCAUCCUGCAUCAUCGAAGUUACCUGCUACAAGGGAUAUUGGCUGCAAUACUGAGCCACCUCAGAGACACUAGUUGGCACACAACUUUCUUUGAAGACUCUUCAUUCACAUUACAGAAGUGAAGCUGUCCAGGCUACUGUGUCCUUCAAGGACUUUGGCACAUCCACUGAUCCCUUCACAGGCCCACUGCCUGUAGCAUGCUCGACACCUGUGAAGCCGCCACCAUUUAAGAGACCUCGGCUGCAGCAGCAGGAGGAGGAGGAGGAGGAUUGUCUCGAGGGCAGCGCAAUACUGGCUUCUGAAGGGCUGGACGCAACCUUUUACCCUGAAGACUCGGUCACAACUUUGCCUGAGUCAACAUUCAUGUCAGAUGUUGAAUCCACAUCCAAACACGAUAUAAGGAAGUACAUAGUGUACGAGACCUGUCUCAUGGAGCUGUUCGAGGUGUGUCCUGUGUGCAAGCAUGUUUGCAGUGUGAAAAACAAAGUGCUUGGGACAUUCAUAUCAGUGAAACAGCUGUGUGAGUAUUGCGAGGAUUCCCGAAUUUGGCAAAGCCAGCCUCUUCUGGAUAGCACACCAGCUGGGAACUUGCAGCAGUGUACAUCAGUGGAGCCUCUUUCUUCAAACUUCAAAGGGUGUUCAAGGCGAUGCAUCUGCAGAUUUUUCUGUAUGAUACCUUUCGUCGGCAUGCCCGAAUGUUUAUAGAGCCAGCUAUUGUCCAUAAAUGGAACCAUUCCCAGGAUGUGAUGCUGCAGCAGCUCAGCGAAGAAAGAAAAGUAAUACUUGGUGGCGACAUGAGGGCUGAUUCUCCAGGGCACUGUGCAAAAUUUGGGAGCUACACCAUGAUGGACCUCAACACCAAAACUAUUGUCGAUCUCCAGUUGGUUCAGAGCAACGAGGUUGGAGGAAGCUCCCAUAUGGAGAAGGAAGGCCUGAAGAGGAGCCUGGCAUUGUUGGAUGCACGUGGUGUAACCAUCGAUAGCAUCGUCACUGACCGUCAUCCACAAAUCCAGAAAGAGGGACAACAACAUCACUCAAUUUUAUGACGUCUGGCACAUGGAGAAAGAUUUGUAGGAAUUACAAAGCAACUACAUAAAAUUAGCAAAACCAAGGACUGCCAGAAAGUAAAGACGUGGAUGCGAGCCAUCAGAAACCACAUCUAUUGGACGGCGGCAUCUUCAAUAACCGGGCCGGAGAGAGUGGCAAAAUGGACCUCCCUCCUGAACCAUGUUCAGGAUAUUCAUACUCAUGAUGAUCCCCUCUUCCCAAAAUGUCUACAUCCAAUUCGCAGCACAACGGACAAGAGUAGAUGGCUCUCAGGAGCAACUCCUGCAUUCUACAAGCUGGAGAAGGCGCUGACCAAGAAGGCAGUCCUGAGGGAUAUAGCAAAGCUCAGUCCCCACCACCAGACGUCCUCUUUGGAGGCAUUCCACGCCGUGAUCCUGCGGUUCGCUCCUAAAAAUGUGGUCUAUCCAUUUCUAGGAAUGCUGUGCAGACUCUACCUGGCUGCACUGCAUUACAAUGAGAAUUCUGAUAGAGGACAAGCCACUACGUCAUCAGGAGAUCUUGUGUUCAGACUGACCUUUCCUAAGGCCAGGAAGGGAGAGUGCAGAGCCAAACCAGUGAAGACUGAGGCGACAUUCCAGUAUGUGAAUGAUUUGAUGGACAUGAUCAUGGAGAAGGUCUUUGUCGACCCAGCAUCCUACAGAGCUGAGAUUCUGAAGAUAAACAUCCCGCCGGAACUGUCUUCAGAAUAUGAGCAUCCAGACAAGGAGGAGGUCAUCGCCAGCUACUUCUCCAGAUUUAAUCAAGGGAGGGUGGUUUGAAGCCUCCGUAUCUUCUAUGGGCGUCCGGAAAUUCCCGGUGUAUGCGAAGAACCACGCAUGAUGGGAUCACAACCCGUAUCUUCCGCCCAAGGAAGCCCCAGCACCAGCUCACAAAAUUUCUGUAGUCUAAAUACCUGUAACUACAAUGUAAUGAAAAUGUAACAUUGUUAGUCAACAGGUUCUACAAUGUCAACAUCUGUGUUCACAUUUUCUCAUUGAAUUCAGUGAAUUCUUCACUUAUACUGUAUUUAGAUGCACAAAUAUUCAUGACUGCGUUCAAUAAAUGUUUAUUGUAUCUGUACAAUGUUUUAUGUGAAUUAAUACAUAAUAUGCAGUAUCUGCUUAUGAAAAAAUUGGCUAUGUUAAAAUAUGAUGUGAAAUUGUGGCUUUGGCUGACUUUAUUUAGUUUAUUGUGUAUGAACAGUCAAGUAGGUUAUUAUAUGUAAAACUCACUGCUCUAUCCCCCGUAGCCGCAAAGGACCGUAGUCAGCUCUGUAGAUGUUGCAUGCGUUCUGCAGCGAGAACACAUUCAGACAAACCGGUUCUAAACCUGGAUGGUCUAUCAUGCAGGGAGGCCUUUCAUCCACCUGUUCCAGCCGUCUUAUAACCUAUUAUGGAUAACAUGAGGUGAGUAUCUGCAAUGGCAUGUUAUCAGAAAUCAUGCAAUGCAAACAAGUGUAGGUAAGGGUUAUGUAGCUGCUAAUGUUACCUGAGGCACCUCCUGACAGCAUAAGUUCUCCGGCUCUGACUGCAUUGUGGCACAAUUUCCACAUGUGCACCUAUACAAAUCAAUCAUGCAUGUGUAACCCCUC